UACAGAGGUGCCAAGCGUUGUUCGGAUUUAUUGGGCGUAAAGGGUGCGUAGGCGGCCAUGCAAGUCGGAUGUGAAAUACCGGAGCCUAACUCCGGAACGGCAUUCGAAACUGCAUGGCUGGAGGUCUGCAGAGGUGACUGGAAUUCUCGGUGUAGCAGUGAAAUGCGUAGAUAUCGAGAGGAACACCAGAGGCGAAGGCGAGUCACUGGACAGAUUCUGACGCUGAGGCACGAAAGCCAGGGGAG
rnacentral:rRNA from 1 species